CAUCUGGCCUAAUACUGACGCUGAGGUACGAAAGCAUGGGGAGCAAACAGGAUUAGAUACCCUGGUAGUCCAUGCCGUAAACGAUGUCUACUAGCCGUUGGGGCCUUUGAGGCUUUAGUGGCGCAGCUAACGCGAUAAGUAGACCGCCUGGGGAGUACGGUCGCAAGACUAAAACUCAAAUGAAUUGACGGGGGCCCGCACAAGCGGUGGAGCAUGUGGUUUAAUUCGAUGCAACGCGAAGAACCUUACCUGGCCUUGACAUACUAGAAACUUUCCAGAGAUGGAUUGGUGCCUUCGGGAAUCUAGAUACAGGUGCUGCAUGGCUGUCGUCAGCUCGUGUCGUGAGAUGUUGGGUUAAGUCCCGCAACGAGCGCAACCCUUUUCCUUACUUGCCAGCAUUUCGGAUGGGAACUUUAAGGAUACUGCCAGUGACAAACUGGAGGAAGGCGGGGACGACGUCAAGUCAUCAUGGCCCUUACGGCCAGGGCUACACACGUGCUACAAUGGUCGGUACAAAGGGUUGCUACACAGCGAUGUGAUGCUAAUCUCAAAAAGCCGAUCGUAGUCCGGAUUGGAGUCUGCAACUCGACUCCAUGAAGUCGGAAUCGCU
rnacentral:rRNA from 1 species